UUUAUAAAUGACAGAGAAAAAAAAAUAAAUCCUCAAAGCAGUCUUCCCAAAAUGUGUAAAUACUGUUUCACUAUUCAGUAUUUUCAACUUAUAAGCUAUGUUCCUACCAAUAGCAAGUAAACUUUCCUUUAAUAUUCAGGUUUUGUUACUUACUUUUCUGUAAUAAUGUGCUGCAUUUUCUGCAUCAUGUGUCAGAAAACUUUGUAACUUUGUAAAAAACUUAGUAAAAUUUUUUAUCCUAAUACAUUAUUUUGCAUGUAACGUCAUUCCUUCUUAUAUUUUAAAGAGCUCUUUGCUUAAUAAUGGAAUACAACAUACCAAUAUAACUUAAUGUUCUUUACCAUAGAUAUUUCUAAAAAUCUGUAUCUGCAUUUCAAUAAUCUGAUCAAAUGUAUGAUAGAUUGCCUCAAUGCUAAUUUUUUGAGCAUGUCAGAAUACAUGGUAUGAAUCAUCUUUGCUUUUCAAAGUUCUGAUUCAGAAACUACAAAAAGACAAUCUUCCAAUCAACUGUAUAGAAUGAUGGGUUCUUUCCAUAUUGUAUCUCCUGCCUCUCAAUUCUCCUGGAAGCAAUUUGUGUUUGUAAAUAAAAUCCCUCUAAUUGGGAUACCAUCUGGUAAGUUAGCUAUGAUAUGUCACUGACAAUGCAUUUAUUUAUGUUUAGUAAAUCCCAGCUUUUGUGAGUAUCUCUGGUGAAGCAGAUAUUUCAAGGAACCUGAGCAAGAUGAGAUUGAGAUGAAUGUUUCUGUUACCAGUAAAGAGCUGACAUAGCUCUCUGGACAAAUAUGAUUUUUGAGAAUUCACAGAAACAAUGACCUGAAUAGAGGGGAAAUUUAUAAGACUAUCAAUGCUACUCUUUGAAUUUUAUUAUUGUACUAUAGCAACAGUCUCUAAGCACAGCCAUAGGCAAAGUAAGUUGUUGCCCAGGACAGUAGAUGGUAGCCUAGUUGCAGCCAGACUUUCCUCUUGGUGAUUUUGUUGCUAAGAACUCUUAGAUCUAUGACCACCUCCAUCUUGGGCACAGACUUCACCCCUUUGAUUUUGGAGAAAGAGAUAGGACUGCAGCAAUCUGCUAUCAGCACACUGAUCCAAGAUCAGUCCUCCUUUUUCCCCUUUCCUGCAGAGCUGAAGCCAUCAAGGUUCUGAUUACCAAGAUUAAAAGGAAUAAUGAGUUAUCUAUUACAAUAAAGUCUAACUCCAAGGAAUUCCAUCAAACUAUGCUGAUUUACAUCACAUCAGCCCGUGGUAUGACCCAGAGCCUUUCUUCUGAGUUAUAAGUUAUGGUACCCAGGUCUACAACUGCAUGCAGAUGGUGACAUGCUCAUAUGAGAAGCCUCAUAGGACAGAGAAUGACAUGCUACAAGAUACUAUUACAGUACUGGUGACCAGGAACAGCCAUCCCUGCCUUUGUCACUGCAGGCUAUUGAUACAUACUAUUAAAAACUACAUAAGACAACCCAGCUGGAAAUCAGAGCUGAAGAAUAAUAAACCAGCUCGGAGUACCUGUUGUAACUGAACCCCAAGAGAUACUCCAAAUGUGAAUGUACUGUAGCAAAUACGUACUGGUUUGUUGCUUGAACAAACCAACGCCCUUUUUCUACCUGCUCGAGAGGACUCCUGAAUCUGCCAGACACGUGAGGGCAGCAAAGAUCCAAGCUCAAAGAGGGCUGCACGAGCCAUUGCAACAACUAAACAGCUAUAUUUUAGGAAUGCCAUGUCAGGAUGGUGGAAGGCCUGCCACUGCAGUCUUUUAGAAAUGACCAGACAAAGCAAUGACAGUACAUACCUGAUUGCAUUCUCUCACAAUGAGGAAGGUUAAUUGGCUUUCAAUAGGGCAUUUUGGCCUCUGUGGGAAUCUGUUUUGAAGAAUCAUGUGUGAUAUGGUUCUGGAGAGAAAAGGGGUUCCAGAAAGCUGGUUGAUUUUCCAGUAUCACCUCCUCCAAGUUCAACAGCAGUCUGUCCCUAUGAGCAGGACAUCAAGCAAGGGCAGCAGGAGGCCUUCAUGGAUCAUUAUGUACCUCCUGACUAAACUCAGAGACAAAAAGGAAUCAUAUAAGAGGUGGAAGCAAAGACUGGUAAGCCAGGACAAAUAUAGAGUAACUGAAAAUGUAGGA